AACGCGAAGAACCUUACCUACCCUUGACAUGGUCGGAAUUCUGCUGAGAGGCGGAAGUGCUCGAAAGAGAACCGGCGCACAGGUGCUGCAUGGCUGUCGUCAGCUCGUGUCGUGAGAUGUUGGGUUAAGUCCCGCAACGAGCGCAACCCUUGUCAUUAGUUGCUACGAAAGGGCACUCUAAUGAGACUGCCGGUGACAAACCGGAGGAAGGUGGGGAUGACGUCAAGUCCUCAUGGCCCUUAUGGGUAGGGCUUCACACGUCAUACAAUGGUACAUACAGAGGGCCGCCAACCCGCGAGGGGGAGCUAAUCCCAGAAAGUGUAUCGUAGUCCGGAUUGUAGUCUGCAACUCGACUACAUGAAGUUGGAAUCGCUAGUAAUCGCGGAUCAGCAUGUCGCGGUGAAUACGUUCCCGGGCCUUGUA
rnacentral:rRNA from 1 species